rnacentral:rRNA from 1 species
GAGGCAGCAGUGGGGAAUAUUGGACAAUGGGGGAAACCCUGAUCCAGCAAUGCCGCGUGUGUGAAGAAGGCCUGCGGGUUGUAAAGCACUUUCGGUGGGGAGGAAAAGCUGGGAGNUAAUACCUUUCAGUGUUGACGUUACCCAAAGAAGAAGCACCGGCUAACUCUGUGCCAGCAGCCGCGGUAAUACAGAGGGUGCAAGCGUUAAUCGGAAUUACUGGGCGUAAAGCGCACGUAGGUGGUUUGGUAAGUCGGAUGUGAAAGCCCCGGGCUCAACCUGGGAAUUGCAUUCGAUACUGCCUGGCUAGAGUAUGGUAGAGGGGGGUAGAAUUCCCGGUGUAGCGGUGAAAUGCGUAGAUAUCGGGAGGAAUACCAGUGGCGAAGGCGGCCCCCUGGACCAAUACUGACACUGAGGUGCGAAAGCGUGGGUAGCAAACAGGAUUAGAUACCCUGGUAGUCCACGCCGUAAACGAU